UGGGGAAUUUUGGACAAUGGGCGCAAGCCUGAUCCAGCCAUGCCGCGUGAGUGAAGAAGGCCUUCGGGUUGUAAAGCUCUUUCGGCGGGGACGAAACGGUUCGUGACAACACCACGGACUAAUGACGGUACCCGCAUAAGAAGCACCGGCUAACUACGUGCCAGCAGCCGCGGUAAUACGUAGGGUGCAGGCGUUAAUCGGAAUUACUGGGCGUAAAGCGUGCGCAGGCGGUUUGUUAAGACAGGUGUGAAAUCCCCGGGCUUAACCUGGGAAUUGCGCUUGUAACUGGCAGGCUAGAGUGUGGCAGAGGGGGGUGGAAUUCCACGUGUAGCAGUGAAAUGCGUAGAUAUGUGGAGGAACACCGAUGGCGAAGGCAGCCCCCUGGGUUAACACUGACGCUCAUGCACGAAAGCGUGGGGAGCAAACAGGAUUAGAUACCCCGGUAGUCCCUGAGCGGGCUGGCAAGGCGCAU
rnacentral:rRNA from 1 species